rnacentral:rRNA from 1 species
CCUACGGGAGGCAGCAGUGAGGAAUAUUGGUCAAUGGGCGAGAGCCUGAACCAGCCAAGUCGCGUGAAGGAUGACGGCCCUACGGGUUGUAAACUUCUUUUGUCAGGGAGCAAUUUGGUCCACGCGUGGGCUUAUCGAUAGUCCCUGAAGAAAAAGCAUCGGCUAACUCCGUGCCAGCAGCCGCGGUAAUACGGAGGAUGGGAGCGUUCUCCGGUUUUAUUGGGUUUAAAGGGUGCGGAGGCGGAAGAUCAAGUCAGUGGUAAAAAUUCGGGGCUCAACCCCGGCGGGCCGUUGAAACUGGUAGUCUUGAGUGGGCUAGAAGGAGGCGGAAUGCGUGGUGUAGCGGUGAAAUGCAUAGAUAUCACGAAGAACUCCGAUGGCGAAGGCAGCAUACCGGAGCCAAACUGACGCUGAGGCACGAAAGCGUGGGGAUCGAACAGGAUUAGAUACCCUGGUAGUC